rnacentral:rRNA from 1 species
AAAUUGAAGAGUUUGAUCAUGGCUCAGAUUGAACGCUGGCGGCAGGCCUAACACAUGCAAGUCGAACGGUAACAGGAAGCAGCUUGCUGCUUCGCUGACGAGUGGCGGACGGGUGAGUAAUGUCUGGGAAACUGCCUGAUGGAGGGGGAUAACUACUGGAAACGGUAGCUAAUACCGCAUAAUGUCGCAAGACCAAAGAGGGGGACCUUCGGGCCUCUUGCCAUCGGAUGUGCCCAGAUGGGAUUAGCUUGUUGGUGGGGUAACGGCUCACCAAGGCGACGAUCCCUAGCUGGUCUGAGAGGAUGACCAGCCACACUGGAACUGAGACACGGUCCAGACUCCUACGGGAGGCAGCAGUGGGGAAUAUUGCACAAUGGGCGCAAGCCUGAUGCAGCCAUGCCGCGUGUAUGAAGAAGGCCUUCGGGUUGUAAAGUACUUUCAGCGGGGAGGAAGGGAGUAAAGUUAAUACCUUUGCUCAUUGACGUUACCCGCAGAAGAAGCACCGGCUAACUCCGUGCCAGCAGCCGCGGUAAUACGGAGGGUGCAAGCGUUAAUCGGAAUUACUGGGCGUAAAGCGCACGCAGGCGGUUUGUUAAGUCAGAUGUGAAAUCCCCGGGCUCAACCUGGGAACUGCAUCUGAUACUGGCAAGCUUGAGUCUCGUAGAGGGGGGUAGAAUUCCAGGUGUAGCGGUGAAAUGCGUAGAGAUCUGGA